rnacentral:sRNA from 1 species
CAUAAGUUAAGAAUACUUAGCUUGAACUCCUAAAACUUUUCUUUUUCAUAAUAAUCUCCCUAAAAGACCACCCAAUCAGGUGGUCUUUUC